GACAGAGGGUGCGAACGUUGUUCGGAAUUACUGGGCGUAAAGCGCAUGUAGGCGGCAGCGCAAGUCGGGCGUGAAAUCCCACGGCUCAACCGUGGAAGUGCACUCGAAACUGCGCAGCUAGAGUCCUGGAGAGGAAGGUGGAAUGCUUGGUGUAGAGGUGAAAUUCGUAGAUAUCAAGCGGAACACCGGUGGCGAAGGCGGCCUUCUGGACAGUGACUGACGCUGAGAUGCGAAAGCGUGGGGAGCAAACAGGGAUUAAGAAACCCGGG
rnacentral:rRNA from 1 species